GACGAACGCUGGCGGCGUGCUUAACACAUGCAAGUCGAACGCUGAAGACCUGGCUUUUGUUGGGUUGGAUGAGUGGCGAACGGGUGAGUAACACGUGAGUAACCUGCCCUCUUCUUUGGGAUAACGCCCGGAAACGGGUGCUAAUACUGGAUAUUCACUGGCCUUCGCAUGGGGGUUGGUGGAAAGGUUUGUUCUGGUGGGGGAUGGGCUCGCGGCCUAUCAGCUUGUUGGUGGGGUGAUGGCCUACCAAGGCUUUGACGGGUAGCCGGCCUGAGAGGGUGACCGGUGACAUUGGGACUGGGAUACGGCCCAGACUCCUACGGGAGGCAGCAGUGGGGAAUAUUGCACAAUGGGCGAAAGCCUGAUGCAGCGACGCCGCGUGAGGGAUGGAGGCCUUCGGGUUGUAAACCUCUUUCGCUCAUGGUCAAGCCGCAACUGUGGGUUGUGGUGAGGGUAGUGGGUAAAGAAGCGCCGGCUAACUACGUG
rnacentral:rRNA from 1 species